rnacentral:rRNA from 1 species
AACGAACGCUGGCGGCAUGCCUAACACAUGCAAGUCGAACGAGACCUUCGGGUCUAGUGGCGCACGGGUGCGUAACGCGUGGGAACCUGCCCUUAGGUUCGGAAUAACUCCCCGAAAGGGGUGCUAAUACCGGAUAAUGUCUUCGGACCAAAGAUUUAUCGCCUUUGGAUGGGCCCGCGUUGGAUUAGCUAGUUGGUAGGGUAAAAGCCUACCAAGGCGACGAUCCAUAGCUGGUCUGAGAGGAUGAUCAGCCACACUGGGACUGAGACACGGCCCAGACUCCGACGGGAGGCAGCAGUGGGGAAUAUUGGACAAUGGGCGAAAGCCUGAUCCAGCCAUGCCGCGUGUGUGAAGAAGGUCUUCGGAUUGUAGAGCACUUUAAGUUGGGAGGAAGGGCAGUAAGUUAAUACCUUGCUGUUUUGACGUUACCAACAGAAUAAGCACCGGCUAACUUCGUG